UGGGGAAUAUUGCACAAUGGGCGCAAGCCUGAUGCAGCCAUGCCGCGUGUAUGAAGAAGGCCUUCGGGUUGUAAAGUACUUUCAGCGGGGAGGAAGGCGAUAAGGUUAAUAACCUUGUUGAUUGACGUUACCCGCAGAAGAAGCACCGGCUAACUCCGUGCCAGCAGCCGCGGUAAUACGGAGGGUGCAAGCGUUAAUCGGAAUUACUGGGCGUAAAGCGCACGCAGGCGGUCUGUCAAGUCGGAUGUGAAAUCCCCGGGCUCAACCUGGGAACUGCAUUCGAAACUGGCAGGCUAGAGUCUUGUAGAGGGGGGUAGAAUUCCAGGUGUAGCGGUGAAAUGCGUAGAGAUCUGGAGGAAUACCGGUGGCGAAGGCGGCCCCCUGGACAAAGACUGACGCUCAGGUGCGAAAGCGUGGGGAGCAAACA
rnacentral:rRNA from 1 species